rnacentral:rRNA from 1 species
AUUGAACGCUGGCGGCAUGCCUUACACAUGCAAGUCGAACGGCAGCGGACCUUCGGGUGCCGGCGAGUGGCGAACGGGUGAGUAAUGCAUCGGAACGUGCCAUUGAGUGGGGGAUAACGUAGCGAAAGUUACGCUAAUACCGCAUAUUCUGUGAGCAGGAAAGCAGGGGACCGCAAGGCCUUGCGCUCUUUGAGCGGCCGAUGUCAGAUUAGCUAGUUGGUGAGGUAAAGGCUUACCAAGGCGACGAUCUGUAGCGGGUCUGAGAGGAUGAUCCGCCACACUGGAACUGAGACACGGUCCAGACUCCUACGGGAGGCAGCAGUGGGGAAUUUUGGACAAUGGGCGCAAGCCUGAUCCAGCCAUGCCGCGUGAGUGAAGAAGGCCUCGGUUGUAA